ACUGCCAAUAACUAUACUCCUUUUCAUUCCAGGAAUGCACAUUUAAAGACUUGGCUUAUGUUAAACAUAUGUAGAGAGACAUUUUUAGCAUCUAGAACUGAAUUUCUUACCCAUACUGUCUCUGCUCACUCUCGAGUGAUUCUCUAAUAAGAGGGCUCUUUUUGUUUAAAGAUCUGUAGUCGCUGGGUGCGGUGGCUCACGCCUGUUAUCCCAGCACUUUGGAAGGCCAAGGCG
rnacentral:lncRNA from 1 species